UACAAGCUCUCCUCCCUCAUUUCCUCUAGUCAUGACUUUAGUUUUCCGAUCCCCCUCCUCCUCUGAACUCCCUAGAGACGCGAACCUCCUCAGAGAUAAAAAUGAGUGCACUGAUGUGCUCGCGUGCACACCCCAUUCGAGCACAGGCACGCACCGCUAUGGCCGUGGGUUUCACCAAAAGCGCUUCCAGCACACGCGAGUGUUGGUCCAAAGCCCUCCCGCGAGAGCGGCACCCCCACGACCUUCCUAGGAAACCCGGUCCGACAAUCCUUCGGAACACUCCGUCAUCCUUCAAAUACCCUCAUGUGUCCAUAAUUGGCUUUCAGUUCUCGGUAGUAUAGUGGUUAGUAUACCCGCCUGUCACGCGGGUGACCCGGGUUCAAUUCCCGGCCGGGAAGCUUUUCGGGUGUGACGUUAUGAGGAGGAAAAUUCCGAUGCCGGGGAUCGAACCCGGGUCUAGCGGGUGAGAGCCGCUUGUUCUAUCCACUAUACCACAUCGGAUUCGAAGUCCCGUGGGCACUUGAUGGUGUUCCCUAGUGAAGCUCUCCUCCUAGUCACCGUGACCCGAGGGUGCUGUGAGCACGACCAUGCCAAGGAGAAAACACCACAUCCCGCCCGAUUUGCGAAAAGCACUCACAGGCUUAGUGCUGAUGUCGGUGUUGGCUCGGGAACCUUACGUGUCGUGCUCUUUUUCGCUUUCUUUCACUUCGCCCCAGCUGAGAAACCCGGACGGGGGCCCGCGAACCGGCCCCUCUGCCCCUGCCGCCCGCCGACGCCCCAGACCCCUCCCAGCAAGACCACCAGACAG